rnacentral:tRNA from 1 species
AAGAAAGUGACAGAGUGGUGAUGUGGUUGGCUUGAAACCAACAUAUGGGGGUUCGAUUCCUCCCUUUCUCG